CCUACGGGUGGCAGCAGUGAGGAAUAUUGGUCAAUGGGCGGAAGCCUGAACCAGCCAAGUAGCGUGCAGGAUGACGGCCCUACGGGUUGUAAACUGCUUUUAUACGGGAAUAACGCGCCUUACGUGUAGGCCUUUGCAUGUACCGUAUGAAUAAGGACCGGCUAAUUCCGUGCCAGCAGCCGCGGUAAUACGGAAGGGCCGGGCGUUAUCCGGAUUUAUUGGGUUUAAAGGGUGCGUAGGCCGCAUGUCAAGCGUGCUGUGAAAUGUCCGGGCUCAACCCGGGCCUUGCAGCGCGAACUGGCGUGCUUGAGUCCGCGGAAAGCAGGCGGAAUUCGUCGUGUAGCGGUGAAAUGCUUAGAUAUGACGAAGAACCCCGAUUGCGAAGGCAGCUUGCUGCAGCGGAACUGACGCUGAUGCUCGAAAGCGCGGGUAUCGAACAGGAUUAGAUACCCCAGUAGUC
rnacentral:rRNA from 1 species